UUUUCCUCGUGUCUUAUCUCUUCAGUGGAAGCACCUGUUCAUUCAGAUUGGAAAUCAUCCAGCAUCGUGGUUUGCACACAAGUGCACGCUGUCAUUAAAGCAAAAGAAGGACAUAUCCAUUCAUUUUCUAUAGCGCUUACACAGGGUCGCAGACAAGGAGCUAUCCCCAGUGACUCUGGGCACAAGAACGAUAAAAUGAAACUGGGCAAACGAAAAGGAAACUGAGAAUUCGUUCAGAAGCGGUACGUCAGCGAUUGCAUCAUCGCUCUGCAUCCAAACUCACGACACUCGACACAACAGCUGCCUUUUGUAGACGUCGAAUUUGCCGGCGGAUCGUCCCGACUUGCGCUGUUUGAGUUUGCGCGUCCAGCCCUGAGGCAGUGAGGGGUCGUCGUACAAAGGCCCGCGGUCUCGGAUGAUGGACCGCCGCUGCUUGGCCGAGGAAGA